AAAACAUCGCCUCCUGCAACACAACCAAGUAUAGGAGGUCCAGCCUGCCCAGUGACUACAAGUUUAACGGCCGCGGUAUUUUGACCGUGCAAAGGUAGCGCAAUCACUUGUCUUUUAAAUAGAGACCUGUAUGAAUGGCUAAACGAGGGCUUAACUGUCUCCCCUUUCUAGUCAGUGAAAUUGAUCUACCCGUGCAGAAACGGGUAUAACAAUACAAGACGAGAAGACCCUUUGGAGCUUAAGGUACAAAACUCAACCACGUAAAGCAACUCAGUAAAAAGUAAAAACUUUGUGGAAAAUGAAAUUUUACCUUCGGUUGGGGCGACCACGGAGGAAAGUAAAGCCUCCAAGUGGACUGGGACAAACCUCCUAAAACCAAGAGAGACAUCUCUAAGCCACAGAACAUCUGACCAAAUAUGAUCCGGCUGACAAAGCCGAUCAACGAACCAAGUUACCCUAGGGAUAACAGCGCAAUCCUCUCCCAGAGUCCAUAUCGACGAGAGGGUUUACGACCUCGAUGUUGGAUCAGGACAUCCUAAUGGUGCAGCCGCUAUUAAGGGUUCGUUUGUUCAACGAUUAAAGUCCUACGUGA
rnacentral:rRNA from 1 species